rfam:Ictidomys tridecemlineatus contig059819, whole genome shotgun sequence.
GGGGUUGUGGCUCAGCGGUAGAGCGCUCACCUGGCAUGUGUGGGGGGCUGGGUUUGAUCCUCAGCAACACAU